rnacentral:ribozyme from 13 species
UGUUUUUUUUUUUUUUUUUUUUUUUUUUUCUUG